rnacentral:rRNA from 1 species
GACGAACGCUGGCGGCGUGCUUAACACAUGCAAGUCGAACGGAAAGACCCUGCUUUUGUGGGGUGCUCGAGUGGCGAACGGGUGAGUAACACGUGAGUAACCUGCCCUUGACUUUGGGAUAACUUCAGGAAACUGGGGCUAAUACCGUAUAGGAGCUCCUGCUGCAUGGUGGGGGUUGGAAAGUUUCGGCGGUUGGGGAUGGACUCGCGGCUUAUCAGCUUGUUGGUGGGGUAGUGGCUUACCCAGGCUUUGACGGGUAGCCGGCCUGAGAGGGUGAACGGCCACAAUGGGACUGAGAUACGGCCCAGACUCCAACGGGAGGCAGCAGUGGGGAAUAUUGCACAAUGGGCGGAAGCCUGAUGCAGAAACGCCGCGGGCGGGAUGACGGCCUGCGGGUUGUAAACCGCUUUCGCCUGUGACGAAGCGUGAGUGACGGUAAUGGGUAAAGAAGCACCGGCUAACUACGUG